rnacentral:rRNA from 2 species
AGGUCGAUGAGUGCUAGUGUUAGAGGGUUUCCGCCCUUUAGUGCUGCAGCUAACGCAUUAAGCACUCCGCCUGGGGAGUACGGCCGCAAGGCUGAAACUCAAAGGAAUUGACGGGGGCCCGCACAAGCGGUGGAGCAUGUGGUUUAAUUCGAAGCAACGCGAAGAACCUUACCAGGUCUUGACAUCCUUACGACCUCCCUAGAGAUAGGGAUUUCCCCUUCGGGGGACGGAAGUGACAGGUGGUGCAUGGUUGUCGUCAGCUCGUGUCGUGAGAUGUUGGGUUAAGUCCCGCAACGAGCGCAACCCUUGAUCUUAGUUGCCAGCAUUCAGUUGGGCACUCUAAGGUGACUGCCGGUGACAAACCGGAGGAAGGUGGGGAUGACGUCAAAUCAUCAUGCCCCUUAUGACCUGGGCUACACACGUGCUACAAUGGAUGGUACAAAGGGCAGCGAAACCGCGAGGUCGAGCCAAUCCCAUAAAACCAUUCUCAGUUCGGAUUGCAGGCUGCAACUCGCCUGCAUGAAGCCGGAAUCGCUAGUAAUCGCGGAUC